CUCCAUCGCUGGCAGGUAGGAUACUCAGCAGCAACAAGAUCUAGAGGAGUCUCGGUGACAGAUUCUGAUAUCAUGGUGAACAAGGCACCUGAAUAAAGCUUCCCACUGAAAAUCAGCAGAAAAGCAGACACAGCAACCUGGAUCACUCCAUCUCAGGCCAUAGGUCCUCAGGGAAUGACCAAAGUCAAGGAGCUUCUAGAUUCUAAGGCAAGAAUCAGACAGGAGGAUGAAGGGAACUUCAGGGGAAGGUUAUGAUGUCUCCAACCAGACCGAAGAUCAGAGAAAAUCUCCAAAAGACAUGUGAAUGGAUGUCUUAACUUUUAGAACCUUAAGUAAGUAAUUUGUAUGGCAAGCACCCAGCAGAGGAACCAAAGUUAGUCUUUCCAAAGCUGUGUCUCUCUACCAAGCAAGACCUCACUCCUUCCCAAAUCAAUUAA